GUGUCAGCCGCCGCGGUAAUACGUAGGGUGCGAGCGUUGUCCGGAAUUAUUGGGCGUAAAGAGCUCGUAGGCGGUGUGUCACGUCGAUCGUGAAAACUUUCAGCUUAACUGGGAGCUUGCGGUCGAUACGGGCAUCACUGGAGUUCGGCAGGGGAGACUGGAAUUCAAGGUGUAGCGGUGAAAUGCGCAGAUAUCUUGAGGAACACCGGUGGCGAAGGCGGGUCUCUGGGCCGAUACUGACGCUGAGGAGCGAAAGCGUGGGGAGCGAACAGGAUUAGAAACCCGAGUAGUCC
rnacentral:rRNA from 1 species